CCCUUAGAUGUCCUGGGCCGCACGCGCGCUACACUGACAUGUUCAACAAGCCUCCUAGUUCGACAGGAUUUGGGAAAUCUUUGAACGCAUGUCGUGAUAGGGAGAGAUCAUUGCAAUUAUUGAUCUUGAACGAGGAAUUCCUAGUAAACGCGAGUCAUCAGCUCGCAUUGAUUACGUCCCUGCCCUUUGUACACACCGCCCGUCGCACCUACCGAUUGAAUGUUUCGGUGAAGAUUCCGGAUAGGACUUUUUUGAUUUAUUUCAAUUUUGUCUUAAAAGCUAUCUAAACCUCAACAUUUAGAGGAAGGUGAAGUCGUAACA
rnacentral:rRNA from 1 species